CCAUAGUAACCGUAGCCUGUUUUCCAUUGUCAUUUCAACUAUACGCUUAAAUAGUAGCAACAAUCAUGAUAUAUGACUAUUCACCAUCUGUAUUGUAUAAAUUACUAGACAACAAAGACUACGACUUGACUAAACUAUUUGUAUGUAUGACUUUUCUGGCAUGGUCUUCCUGACAAUGGUAGUCAUCUCAAAUAUAAGAACAAAUAGUUAAAAUCACAAUUUCUAGUAAGGUGAAAUUGCUCUCGAGCCUUGAUAUAUAUGAGGAGCUAAAUAGUUAUCGCUACCAUGUAAAUAUGUACACAGUAUAAUAAUGUUACCAUAAAUAGAUACAUGGUUUAAAUGAAAUUAUGAAGUUUGAAAACACUAUUCAUGUAGUCCAUAUCAACAGAAUUUAUGUAGUAAGCACAUUAUCGUAUAGUGUUUUUUAACCGACGAUGUUUUUCAUUUGUGCUGACUAUACAAAUUGUCAAUAAACGGAUAUACUUUGUUAUUGUCACAUAAAGUUACAAUACAGCAGACAAUUUCGUAACACAUCAGUGAUUGAUUUGAAGAAAAAAAAGUAUAUUGUGACAUAUAUUGUGCAAUUUGGAAGGACUUGCAGUGAAAUCGACGUCCUGUAUAAUUUUUAUUAUUCGUUAUCAGUCGCUGUAGAAACAACAUCAAGCGAUUGAUUAAAAACGACGAACAUCAUCCGAUUUCCGGAUUCAAAUCGCUCGAAUCCGAAGGAAAAAAUAACAAUAUAUGGCAGGAAAAACUUCACCGAACAGAGCCUGGGAUCAACAGUUGCAACCAAGCAAUGCUGCUCCGUGUCUACGUUGAUAAUCAAUAUUUCACCAGGCACAUCAUCAUAAUAAAAUUGUAAUAAUUGCAAAAAUAAAAUAGAAUUCAAUGAAACUAUUUUGUUGUUCUUGUUCUAGAAUUCAAAUUCAUAAAACUUUUUAACAUUAGCUCAUGUUUUGCUGAUCUUCAGCAUUGUUGAAUCAACCACUGCCUUCAGUUUCGAAAUAACUAGAAGUGAAAUGUCAAAAAUACCAUGGCUCUGGUUAUAGCGAAAACCACAAUGUAAAUAAAGAUUCGGUCAUGGUUAGC